GGAGGUGUAGCUUAGUGGUAUAGAGUGUGUGCUCAGCAGGCAUGAGGUCCUGGGUUCAAUCCCCAGUACCUCCA
rfam:Camelus ferus unplaced genomic scaffold scaffold131, whole genome shotgun sequence.